UCAGGAUGAACGCUAGCUACAGGCUUAACACAUGCAAGUCGAGGGGCAUCAGGAAGAAAGCUUGCUUUCUUUGCUGGCGACCGGCGCACGGGUGAGUAACACGUAUCCAACCUGCCCUUUACUCGGGGAUAGCCUUUCGAAAGAAAGAUUAAUACCCGAUAGCAUAAUGAUUCCGCAUGGUUUCAUUAUUAAAGGAUUCCGGUAAAGGAUGGGGAUGCGUUCCAUUAGGUUGUUGGUGAGGUAACGGCCCACCAAGCCUUCGAUGGAUAGGGGUUCUGAGAGGAAGGUCCCCCACAUUGGAACUGAGACACGGUCCAAACUCCUACGGGAGGCAGCAGUGAGGAAUAUUGGUCAAUGGGCGCUAGCCUGAACCAGCCAAGUAGCGUGAAGGAUGAAGGCUCUAUGGGUCGUAAACUUCUUUUAUAUAAGAAUAAAGUGCAGUAUGUAUACUGUUUUGUAUGUAUUAUAUGAAUAAGGAUCGGCUAACUCCGUGCCAGCAGCCGCGGUAAUACGGAGGAUCCGAGCGUUAUCCGGAUUUAUUGGGUUUAAAGGGAGCGUAGGUGGACUGGUAAGUCAGUUGUGAAAGUUUGCGGCUCAACCGUAAAAUUGCAGUUGAUACUGUCAGUCUUGAGUACAGUAGAGGUGGGCGGAAUUCGUGGUGUAGCGGUGAAAUGCUUAGAUAUCACGAAGAACUCCGAUUGCGAAGGGCAGCUCACUGGACUGCAACUGACACUGAUGCUCGAAAGUGUGGGUAUCAAACAGGAUUAGAUACCCUGGUAGUCCACACAGUAAACGAUGAAUACUCGCUGUUUGCGAUAUACAGUAAGCGGCCAAGCGAAAGCAUUAAGUAUUCCACCUGGGGAGUACGCCGGCAACGGUGAAACUCAAAGGAAUUGACGGGGGCCCGCACAAGCGGAGGAACAUGUGGUUUAAUUCGAUGAUACGCGAGGAACCUUACCCGGGCUUAAAUUGCAGUGGAAUGAUGUGGAAACAUGUCAGUGAGCAAUCACCGCUGUGAAGGUGCUGCAUGGUUGUCGUCAGCUCGUGCCGUGAGGUGUCGGCUUAAGUGCCAUAACGAGCGCAACCCUUAUCUUUAGUUACUAACAGGUUAUGCUGAGGACUCUAGAGAGACUGCCGUCGUAAGAUGUGAGGAAGGUGGGGAUGACGUCAAAUCAGCACGGCCCUUACGUCCGGGGCUACACACGUGUUACAAUGGGGGGUACAGAAGGCAGCUAGCGGGUGACCGUAUGCUAAUCCCAAAAUCCUCUCUCAGUUCGGAUCGAAGUCUGCAACCCGACUUCGUGAAGCUGGAUUCGCUAGUAAUCGCGCAUCAGCCACGGCGCGGUGAAUACGUUCCCGGGCCUUGUACACACCGCCCGUCAAGCCACGGGAGCCGGGGGUACCUGAAGUACGUAACCGCAAGGAUCGUCCUAGGGUAAAACU
rnacentral:rRNA from 1 species